rnacentral:lncRNA from 1 species
UGAAUAACCAAUACAUUUGCUAUUGAAUAACAUCUUCGGAACGCGACUCUGCGCCUCAUACGCCAACUUAAUUUUUGUUUACAGAAUAGGAUAUGGAUAACAUUAUGAAUGUAACUGACCAACAGCAUUCUUAACAAUAACAAUGAAUCAAAUACUUAAAUUAAAGCGUAAUUCGUGUACACAAUUAAAAACAAAUAACAGAC